AGGGGCAGUUCUGAGGGGUGUGAGGGGCAGGUCUGAAGAGAUAGGUGAGAUCUGAGGGGAGAGGGGCAGUUCUGAGGGGCUGAUCUGAGGGGAGGGGCAGAUUUGAGAGUUAUGGGUGGCUCUGGGAUGUAUGGGCAGCUCUGAGGGGUGAGGGGGUGGUUCUGAGAGGAGAGGGGCAUUUCUGAGGGGCAGAUCUGAAGAGAUGGGAGAUCUGAGGGGAGAGGGGCAGAUCUGAGGGGUGUGGGGCACAUUGGAAGAGAUGGGGGAGGUCUGAGGGGAGAGGGGCUGAUGUGAGGGGCAGUUCUGAUGUGUAUGGGCAGCUCUGAGGGGGGUGAGGGGCAGCUCUGGGGUGAGAGGGUGGCCCUGUGGGGUGUGAGGAGGCAGUACUGAGGGAUAGCAGGGGAGGGGAGGCGGCAGAUAGGGGGUAUGGGAGCAGUUCUGGAAUGAAGGGGUGGCUGUGAGGGGUGAAGGGCACAGUUCUGAGGGGCACAAGGGCAGUUCUGGAGUGGAGGGGCAGUUCUGAAGAUAUGGACAGUUCUGAGGGGAGGAGGGGCAAUACCGAGAGGUAACAGGGGUAGUUCUGAGGUGUUCAGGGAUCAGGGGCCAAGGAAUGGGGGCAGCCCUGCUGGGUUGGGGGGAGAAGAGUGGUAUGGGGCUGGGUGUGGGGGGCACCCAGGGCCAGGCUUGCUCCUUGGUGCUCUUCUGAACCAUCCCUUCCCCUAGAGCAGGAAUGGGAUCUGUGCUCAGCUCCCCAAGGUGUGUUCACACGUGAGCAAACACAGUCCUAGUGCAGCCCUCCAUUGCAGCAGUGCACUGCCUGCCCCUCUGCUGCCACACAGGGCUGUGCCAGGCGUAGGAUCGGAGCUGGGAGACCCCGCACAGCUGAGGGAUCUCCUGGGACCAAUCUGUGGCUGCACACACCGGCGUGGAUCGACGGCUUUGCGUCACGUUAUCGCAUAUCUGCUCCUGCUGCAUUGCACACCGGCAGGUUUCUGCUGCAUUAUCCUAAUUGGGGGAACUCCCAUUCCCACAGCUAUGCUGGGGCCCAGAGCCGGCCAUUAACUGACCCUUCUGGCACCCGAUCUGCAUGCAGGAAUGCACGGUGGCCUCGAGAGGGACGCUGCUUUUCCCUCUGAAAUCUUUCUGCUAUUACUGAUAACUGAGCACUGAAUAUGGACGCGCUCUCUUUCAAAAGCACCACGUCCUUCUCCUUGCAGCACGGCGCAGACUCACACCCCGUUGCUGGCAGAGCUGCUUCCACGCAUUUCAGCAUUGGUUUUUUUUGCUCAAAACUGUGUUUUCUGCUCUCUCCUGCUUGUGUUUCACUGCCUCGUCAGGGCUGCAAACAUCAGAGGGAGCUGCAGGCUGCUGCUCGGCCCCGUGUGCGGCUGCAAGGGUGGACACCGCGUGGAGCAAGCAGCACCGGCCCUUGGCCACCGUGCAGGCGGCUAAUUAGAGCCCUGCGUGUGAUGAAAUAAAUGAAAAUGAGUCAUUUUGUGGUGGUGGCCUGAUGGAAAGAAGCCCAGGAGGGAAGGGAUCGUAUGGACAGUGCAGGAAUGUGCUCGGGGUGCUGUCACACCCAGGCAGGGGUGCAGAAAGGACGGGGAGAAGCGGCUGCCCGUCCCUGGAGUGAAGCAGAAGUGAUCAGCAGUGUUAUUAGACAAAGAGGCGCCGUCAGAAACAGUGCCAUCUGGGAGGCUUCGACUUCCCCGAAAUAAAGCUGAGAACAAACGCUCCUAAAAACGGCACCGUGCUGCUAUUUCUAGACCUGAUCACCACCAGAUUGCUUUACCAAUCAGGCGCUCGCAGCCGGCUCAGCACAACGAGCAGCCCGAGCACAGCCACGCUGCAGGAAGCAGAGGACAUCCUACGUUGCUCUGCGCUGUGGAGGUGCAUUCCAAGCAGAAGAUGGGAACAGAGACCCACAGAAGCGUCACCCAGCCAGCCCCAAGCAGAGGCAGCGGGGUACAAUGCGUCAGCCCAGCUUUGGCAGUCUUCAUCCAUUGUAAAGCGGAGAAAAUCCCCCCAUUUCCAUUAAAAAAAAAGAAGUUAGCUUCACAGUACAAGUUUCUACCCAGUCCUACGUCAGGUUAGUGGGGCCGGAGGGGGAGUGCAGGGAUGGGAAGGGGGCAAAAUGCUUAAAGUUUCCAGCUUCAAAACUAUCGUAACAUCUGGUUUCUGGGAUAGGUGCUCUGUGGGGCUUUGCAGGAGUGGGUGAAGGGCUUUGGGGAGCACCCAUGGGUGCCACAGGGCUGAUCCUGGAGGUGGGGGACAGCCCAGCCCCACAGCCCAGCCCUGUGCUGCUCCCACCCCACAGCAGACCUCGGGAACCCCAGCCCGAGGUGUUGGCUGCGCAUCCUUCCAGCAGUUCUUAAUAUAAGACAACGAGGAAUCAUCCACGACUGAUAGCACAAAGUAAGCGAUCCAUGUCACAACGUACAAUCAAGAUGGAUUUUCUGUUUUUCCUCGGGGGGGGGGAGGUUUCCCAUGCAGGGGGAGGGAGGACCGGGGGUCUUGAGGCAUCACCAUCCCUGACCCCACAGUGCUGCAGAGGGGUGGGGAGGGCAGCCCUACACCUGGAGGAAACCCCCGCCCCAAAACAACCCCACACGUAUUGCAUAGUAUUGCUGUCAGCAGUCUGAAAACAGAAAGGAGAACUCUUUUUUCCAGCGACCUGGGGAUGUCUCUCCCAUAUCCAGGCAAGCUCCCACUGCGCACACCGUGGGGCACAGUUGCUUUUUGCUUCCCCCCCCCCCCCCAAAAAAAAAGCCCCCAAACAUAUAAAGCUCCAAGCAUAGAGAAUGCAGAAUAAUGGGGCUCCCUGCUACAAGCAGGACACGGGGAUGGCCACAGCUCCGACCCCACAGCGUUCCAUCAGCUCCCACUUGCUGCACUGCACCCCAAACCCUCCUGCUGCUGCCCCCAGCUGGGACCCCCCCUCCACUGCCCGGCCUCAGGGCCAGCCCGAAGCCACACCAGGGCCACCCUGCCCUACUGAGGGGGAUUCCACGGAGCACCCUUGUAUUCCUAAAGAUAUUUUUCCCUCUUUGUCUCAGCUGCUCUGGAACUUUGGGUGCACGACCCCCCCCCGGUGCAGGAGCACAGCCCUGGGACCCCUCCGAGCAUCGCCCCCCACUCUGACCUUACCCCUGGGAGCUGCCUGCUGGAGUGAGGGCGGAACGGAAGACGUUUCUCCGUGCCCUGUAGAGAAGCACAGCUAGAGCAGGUUAAAACCAACACUAAUCAGUAACAAUUAAAAAGGAUAAAAGGGGGAGAAUAGCUUAUUCUGGAGGCUGGCUGCCAGGGCACGCAUGAGCUGGGGUUGGGGCAAUGGGAUGUGUUGUGGGGGUGAGGAUUGGGGUUGGGGUGAGCAUUGGGGUGCACUCCCAUACCACACCAUCCCUAGGAUGGCCCCCCCCUGCUUGCAGCCCCCCUCAAGCAUUUGGGGCACCCCUCAAUCUCCUCAUGGAGCAGAGGUGAUGGCGCUGCUGCUGAGGGUCUUUUGUUCACAGUAUGAGCUGAGCAGCCGUGGCACAGAGUCCUUUGGUGCUGGGGUGUGUGUGGGGGGGACAGGUCAGGAGACACCCACCACGAGCUGGGGAGCAAAGUCCGGGUGUCAGUCUGGUGUCUGUGGGUGUGCUGGGGGGAGUAGGGGGAGGGAAGUGACCCCACGUGUGAUUUAAUACCUUAGAAAAAAAAACCCAAUAGGAUCUUCCCUAAACCCCACGAGCCCCAAAGCCCCAAAAGAUCCGCAAAAACCUCGGGGAGCAGCCAACAGGACAGCCCUAUCUCGUCAGCAGCCAGCAAACGAGGGCAGAUUUGGGGGGUGGAGGAGAAAAAAAAAAAUAAAAAUAAAAAAAAAAAGGAAAAACUGAAGAGGAAAAGGGGUGGAGGGGGGAGGGAGGGAGGGGGGCACUGCAGGGCUCAGGCCUGGUCGGCCACCAGGACCAGCGGGGUCACCAGGUGCUGCCCCGCAGCCACCGCUUUGGCCGCGCUGCUCCUCUGCCGCCGCUGCGCCAGCUGGGACUCGGAGGGCGGCGAGAGCUGCACGGCCCUGGAGGCUGCUUUGAUGAUGAUGGGGCGCUCCUCCUCCUCCUCCUCGUCCUCAUCGCGCUGGGUCAGCUGCCUGUUGACGGCCAUGGCCUCUGCGGCGAAGGAGGUGAGUUCUUUGGCACUGCUGUUCCUAUGGGGCACAGACGGAAGGGGCUGAGAGUGUGUUUGGGGCCCCAUGCAUGUGGGGAUGGUGCUGAAAAUGGGGCUCAGACCCAAAUCAUGCACUGCAACCCCAUAGUGGCACAAGCAGGAUCCUGUGGGUCGUAGUU
rnacentral:lncRNA from 1 species